rnacentral:rRNA from 1 species
CCUACGGGAGGCUGCAGUGGGGAAUAUUGGACAAUGGGGGCAACCCUGAUCCAGCCAUGCCGCGUGUGUGAAGAAGGCCCGCGGGUUGUAAAGCACUUUCAGUGAGGAAGAACGCCUGGUGGUUAAUACCCAUCAGGAAAGACAUCACUCACAGAAGAAGCACCGGCUAACUCCGUGCCAGCAGCCGCGGUAAUACGGAGGGUGCGAGCGUUAAUCGGAAUUACUGGGCGUAAAGCGCGCGUAGGUGGCUUGAUAAGCCGGUUGUGAAAGCCCCGGGCUCAACCUGGGAACGGCAUCCGGAACUGUCAAGCUAGAGUGCAGGAGAGGAAGGUAGAAUUCCCGGUGUAGCGGUGAAAUGCGUAGAGAUCGGGAGGAAUACCAGUGGCGAAGGCGGCCUUCUGGACUGACACUGACACUGAGGUGCGAAAGCGUGGGUAGCAAACAGGAUUAGAUACCCGUGUAGUC